CCUAUCCAAACCCAAUCGGUUCUGGUCAAUCCCUCAAAAUCCAGUUCCACGUCCGGUCCGAGGUGGAGCAAGGUUGAUGGCGAGGCGAUUAACAGGAAGGCGACGGACGAGGGGCGCAGACCUGGGUGGAGCGUCCGAGGUGGACGGGGACGGCGCGCGCGAGGACGACGUCGCCGAGGGCGGCGCUGCGGAAGUGGUUGAUGGCGAGGUGCACGCCGGCGACGCGGCUGUACCCGGACGCCAUGUGCGCGCCCAUGCUGGCCAGGCCCUCCGACACCAGCGCCGAC
rnacentral:lncRNA from 1 species